rnacentral:rRNA from 1 species
UACGUAGGGUGCAAGCGUUGUCCGGAAUUAUUGGGCGUAAAGAGCUCGUAGGCGGUUUGUUGCGUCGGCUGUGAAAUCCCGAGGCUCAACCUCGGGUCUGCAGUCGAUACGAGCAAACUAGAGUGUUGCAGGGGAGACUGGAAUUCCUGGUGUAGCGGUGAAUGCGCAGAUAUCAGGGAGGAACACCGGUGGCGAAGGCGGGUCUCUGGGGCAAGCAUCACGAUGCGCUGAGGAGCGAAAGCGUGGGGAGCGAAACGGG